UAAAUUGAUGCCAUCAGAUGCUGCUGUCGCGGUUCUUGUGGCAUUAGGUCUCCGCCCCCUUUCUCCAAGGGGUUUUCCCUUCUAUUCUCGGUGGCGGUAUCGGGGGCUCGGUUUCUGUGGAGCCGAACACUUGGUUUCUAUAAUCCUCUAUUUGGUGGCAGUGGCGCCAAUUGAGGACUAUUUGUACUCUUCUUUUACAACUGGAUCCGGUGGAAGACUACUAUUGUGUUUUCUGAUGUUGUAACGAGAGAUUAGUUUGAGUGCAAUUUGCAGAAGUUUAAUUAAUGAUCACAGGUAGUUGAAGAUUAAUAUCGGUUUAUUUUGCAGAUCCUAUCUGUUUUUAGUUAUUGUUCUUGUGGAUCGCUCUCUCUCUAUUAGUUGUGGAAUUUCUCGCGGGACACACAGGUACAUCAAAAAGACUAGCGAAUUUGGGCAUCUUACCUCUCCUCAGUUUGUCUCUCUGAUCCCUGUGAAAGUGGUAUUAAAUUGAUGUUCAGGCUUGGUUCAAAUACAUUUUGAUCUCAGCUGUAAAUUUUGGUGUUAAGAUUGUGCUGGAACUCAGAUUGAUUUUUUCUCAGUUAUUGAAUCGUUCAGAGUUUGUUGCAAACUUGCUGUAGUUUAAUUGAUCAUGCAAUAUCCAAGUCUCACUGGCUUUCAAUCAGUGAGGCUUUGGCUGA